CCUACGGGAGGCAGCAGUGGGGAAUAUUGGGCAAUGGAGGAAACUCUGACCCAGCAAUGCCGCGUGAAUGAAGAAGGUCUUCGGAUUGUAAAGUUCUUUAGUCAGGGAAGAAGUCAAUGACGGUACCUGAAGAAUAAGCUCCGGCUAACUACGUGCCAGCAGCCGCGGUAAUACGUAGGGAGCAAGCGUUGUUCGGAAUGACUGGGCGUAAAGGGUGCGUAGGCGGUUGUACAAGUUAGAAGUGAAAUACCCAGGGCUUAACUCGGGUGCUGCUUCUAAAACUGUAUGACUUGAGUGCAGUAGAG
rnacentral:rRNA from 1 species